CCUACGGGUGGCAGCAGUGAGGAAUAUUGGUCAAUGGACGCAAGUCUGAACCAGCCAUGCCGCGUGCAGGAUGACGGCUCUAUGAGUUGUAAACUGCUUUUGACGAGGGUAAACCCCGAUACGUGUAUCGGGUUGAAAGUAUCGUACGAAUAAGGAUCGGCUAACCUCGUUCCAGCAGCCGCGGUUAUACGGAGGAUUCGAGCGUUAUUCGGAUUUAUUGGGUUUAAAGGGUGCGUAGGCGGUUUGGUAAGUUAGAGGUGAAAUGUCGGGGCUCAACCCCGAAACCGCCUCUUAUACUGUUAGACUAGAGAAUAGUUGAGGUAGGCGGAAUGUAUGGUGUAGCGGUGAAAUGCUUAGAGAUCAUACAGAACACCGAUUGCGAAGGCAGCUUACCAAACUAUAUCUGACGUUGAGGCACGAAAGCGUGGGUAGCAAACAGGAUUAGAUACCCUGGUAGUC
rnacentral:rRNA from 1 species